AAAUGUAAAGAGACUAUUGAGAGUGGCAUAAGUGAUAUUA
rnacentral:guide_RNA from 1 species